rnacentral:rRNA from 1 species
CUACGGGAGGCAGCAGUGGGGAAUAUUGGACAAUGGGCGAAAGCCUGAUCCAGCAAUGCCGCGUGAGUGAUGAAGGCCUUAGGGUUGUAAAGCUCUUUUACCCGGGAUGAUAAUGACAGUACCGGGAGAAUAAGCCCCGGCUAACUCCGUGCCAGCAGCCGCGGUAAUACGGAGGGGGCUAGCGUUGUUCGGAAUUACUGGGCGUAAAGCGCACGUAGGCGGCUUUGUAAGUUAGAGGUGAAAGCCCAGGGCUCAACCC